rnacentral:rRNA from 1 species
UACGAAGGGGGCUAGCGUUGUUCGGAAUCACUGGGCGUAAAGCGCGCGUAGGCGGAUCGUUAAGUCGGGGGUGAAAUCCCGAGGCUCAACCUCGGAACUGCCUUCGAUACUGGCGAUCUUCGAGUCCGGGAGAGGUGAGUGGAACUCCGAGUGUAGAGGUGAAAUUCGUAGAUAUUCGGAAGAACACCAGUGGCGAAGGCGGCUCACUGGCCCGGUACUGACGCUGAUGUGCGAAAGCGUGGGGAGCAAACAGG